UCCCCUCCUUUGGUUAUCUUCAAUUCCACUCCACCUCUUGCGCGCGAUAGAGAGAAAUGGUUUUCACUGCUUCGCUCUCUGGUGCUGUUUCUCUCAAACUCUCACCUUCUCCACAUGCUGAAGCCUCGUCGUCAUCUUCAUGGUCGAAAUCAACUCUUUUCAUGGGAGCUCCAAUUACCUUUUGUCCUACUCGAAGUGGUAAGCAAUCGGAUACCCGAAAGACACUCGUUGUGUUCUCGAAGAGGAUUUCCGGUUUAGAAGAGGCAAUGAGAAUCAGGAGACAACGUGAGCUUCAAAGUCGAGUCAAGUUUCGAAAAAGACCGCCUUUGAGGCGUGGAAGGGUGUCGCCCCGUCUUCCUGUGCCUGAUCAUAUUCCUAAGCCGCCUUACGUUGGUUCAGAUGUCUUACCAGAGCUCUCCAGCGAGCAUCAAUUUCAUGAUUCUGAAGGCAUUGCUCGAAUGAGAGCUGCUUGUGAGCUUGCAGCUCGCGUCUUGGACUUUGCGGGGAAAUUGGUUAGGCCAUCAGUGACAACGAAUGAGAUUGACAAAGCAGUACACCAGAUGAUCAUUGAGGCUGGUGCUUAUCCUUCUCCCCUUGGAUAUGGAGGAUUUCCCAAGAGUGUUUGCACAUCUGUUAAUGAGUGCAUGUGUCAUGGGAUACCUGAUUCCCGUCAGUUACAGGAUGGUGACAUAAUAAACAUUGAUGUGACAGUCUAUUUAAAUGGAUAUCAUGGUGACACAUCAAAGAUGUUUCUGUGUGGGAACGUUAGUGACUCUCUUAAGCGUCUUGUGAAGGUGACAGAAGAGUGCAUGGAAAAAGGAAUAGCUGCUUGCAAGGAUGGUGCUAGUUUCAAGAAAAUUGGGAAGAGAAUUAGUGAGCAUGCUGAAAAAUAUGGUUACGGUGUGGUGGAGCGUUUUGUUGGACAUGGUGUAGGGACCGUGUUUCAUUCUGAACCAGUAAUACUGCAUCACCGGAAUGAAAUGCCUGGUAAAAUGGUUGAAGGUCAAACAUUUACAAUUGAGGGGUGCAUGUGGGCUGGGUUGUGUGGGUUAGGGGUAGCAUGAUGCCCAUUAACUCCAUGACAUUGUUGAAAUGUUCAACUUAAAUAUAUGAGCUAGUAGAUGGAAAAGGCUAAGCACAGAAUUUGAGGCCAUUCUGCAUUUCUUUCAGCUUGAACCAAUUCUUACGAUGGGAAGUAUUGAGUGUGUAACAUGGCCUGACAACUGGACAACUUUAACAGCGGAUGGCAGCCCUGCUGCACAGUUUGAGCAGACCAUUUUAAUUACCAAAACUGAUGCGGAAAUUUUGACAAAAUGUUGAAUAAUGUUAAUCACUAUAUUUUUUUUGCCACAAUAUCUUUUGACAUGUUACACAAUUUUGGUAAAGGUGCAAGUCCAUUUUCAUUCAAA